UACGUAGGGGGCAAGCGUUGUCCGGAAUCAUUGGGCGUAAAGCGCGUGUAGGCGGUUUGGUAAGUCCGCUCUGAAAGUCCGGGGCUCAACCCCGGAAGGCGGGUGGAUACUGUCAGACUAGAGUGCGGAAGAGGCGAGUGGAAUUCCCGGUGUAGCGGUGAAAUGCGCAGAUAUCGGGAGGAACACCAAUGGCGAAGGCAGCUCGCUGGGACGUGACUGACGCUGAGACGCGAAAGCGUGGGGAGCAAACAGG
rnacentral:rRNA from 1 species